rnacentral:lncRNA from 1 species
UAAAUAUAAUAAAAAUAUUUUUUUAAAAUUUAGGGAUUGUUUUGUUCAAAUUUACAAUACUUUAAAAUAUUGUAUAGUUUAUAUUUAGAAUGAUAUGUUUAUUGCUAACGGAUUAUUAAUAAUUUUUAUUAAGUAUUUAGAAUGAAAACGGUUCAUAAUUCAUGAUAAUCUAGUAAUUUUAUUAUUUUACUAACACUUCUUAUAAUUAUCCAACUUGAAUUGAAUAAUAAUAAUUUAAAU